GUCUUAUCCAUUUGGCGCCUCAUGUAGCACUCUCACAUUACCAGCAGUGGGGUUCUGGUUUUGACUGUGAAAAGCUCUCAUGAAGAGAGGAUUAGAAGGGUGAAACUGCAUGGUUCAGACAGUGCCUUGCCUUGAAGUGACAUCCUCAGGGGGUGACAGCUGCAAGUGGCCAUUUGCAUCAAACAGUCCUCAAGUCACUUUCUAUUAGG